AGAACGAACGCUGGCGGCAUGCCUAACACAUGCAAGUCGAACGAGACCUUCGGGUCUAGUGGCGCACGGGUGCGUAACGCGUGGGAAUCUGCCCUUAGGUACGGAAUAACAGUGAGAAAUUACUGCUAAUACCGUAUGAUGUCUUCGGACCAAAGAUUUAUCGCCUAGGGAUGAGCCCGCGUAGGAUUAGCUAGUUGGUGGGGUAAAGGCCUACCAAGGCUACGAUCCUUAGCUGGUCUGAGAGGAUGAUCAGCCACACUGGGACUGAGACACGGCCCAGACUCCUACGGGAGGCAGCAGUGGGGAAUAUUGGACAAUGGGCGAAAGCCUGAUCCAGCAAUGCCGCGUGAGUGAAGAAGGCCUUCGGGUUGUAAAGCACUUUUAUCGGGAACGAAAUACCACGGUUAAUACCCUAUGGGGCUGACGGUACCUGAGGAAUAAGCACCGGCUAACUUCGCGCCAGCAGCCGCGGUA
rnacentral:rRNA from 1 species